rnacentral:lncRNA from 1 species
GGCCGCGGCUGCCUCUCCAGUGCGGGCUUGUCUCCGAGCUGCUCCACUCGUGGACACCUCUGCCUGGAUUCCUGCCCCCCUCCCCCCGCGCUCCACCUCCACAUGUGUGAACUUGAAUGCAGUCUGAACCUGGCCUCCUCCCUUCUUAUCUCAGCGAGCAGCUCCUCAGGUGCCUGUCAGGAACCUGGGCGGGAUUCCUGCCUCCUUCUUGCUCACCCCCCACCCUCGGGUCAGCCCCUGCUGCCCUUUCCUGCGCCCCCACACUAGCGCGGGAGGCGGCGGCUGUCACAGUGGUCGGUGGGCGCCCCUUCCUCCAAGCUGCCCUCCACCCCGCCUCUGAGGAUGAGGGGCACCUUCUGUCCAUCUCCGCUCACCUGUCACUGCCGGCUGUCGAGGGCCACUGUUCUCCGUGUGAAUGGAUAGAGCUGGCUGAUUUCACACAUGGGGUCUCCAUCAAGGAAAGGUGCAGAUGUGUGAGCCACAGAGAAUUGGUGAUACACAGAUCAAUACCUUCUGAACUACAAAGGACCUCAAGCUCAUCUCCUUCAACCCUGACCCACGGCAAGAAUCUCCUCUUCCAUCUCUGUUUUGCCCCACCGUCCGUCUCCCCUGGAUCCGUGGAUUAGCAUAUUAGAAUAUUCUCCCCACUGGGAGGAACAGGGCUGAGGAGGGAGCGCCCCAACACCAGCGCAAGCCGGGGUCCCCUCGUCGUGGGCUCUGUCUUCCUGUGGACCAACGCCUGGCUGAUGGGUUCACGGCGCCUCUGAUGCACGGGCUGUUCUUGCUCAUAAGGAUGGACCGACGUCAGCUGACCUGCAUGUUCCUUCUCAGGUCUAGGGGGUGCGGGGUGGGGGCGGUCAUGGUGUGGCCUUCCCCAGCCCCUUUGCUGCUGGGCAGGCAGGGCCAGAGGUGGAGAUGAUUACCUGGGGCCCACCAGAGGGCGCUCCUUUCCCAGUGGCCGCCCCACACUCACUCCUGAGGCCCUGGCCUUCCCCAGGCCUCUCUCCCACUCACCCUCCUGACCCUCAGUCAGAGUAGGGCUCCACCUCCUACAGAUCCCAAAACAGAUCUUAGGGGAUCAGCACUGUGGUGUAGCCGGUAAACCCGCCAUGUGCAGGGCCGGCAACCCAUAGGAGCAUUGGUUCAAGUCCCGGCUGCUCCUCUUCUGAUCCAGCUCCCUGCUAAUGCACCUGGGAGAGCAGUAGAAGAUGGCCCCAGUCCUUGGGCCCCUGCACCCAUGUGAAGAGACCUGGAAGAAUCUCCUGGCUCCUGGCUUCAGAUUGGCCCAGCUCUGGUAGUUGCAGCCAUUUGGGGGAAUGAACCAGUGGAUGGAAGAUCUCUUUCUAUCUCUAUGUCUCCUCUCUGUGUAACUCUGUCAAAUAAAUAUUAAAAAAAAAAAAAAAAGCCCCCGACC